CGUAGAGAACAAAUGGAAAUGAGAAGAGCUGAUAAUCUGAAACCUUUCAGUAAAAAUUGUUGUGUCAGGCAGCAAUUCUCGUUUAAAGGGAGGUUCUGGCGUUAAUCCAGGCGCAGAUUUUCUAUAAAGCCGCCAUGGGACACCACCUUACUCAUAAACCAGCCCGGUUCGCUUCGGCUCUGAGGCGCGAUUGUUAAACUUCCAGCAUGAGCAGCGACAGCCUGGCACCGCUUCACGAGCCGCAGCUCCCCUUUGAUGUGCCGGGUUUCACGAGGCAAGGAAAGCCUCACGAGGAGGUCGGGCUCUUCUCCAUCUUCACCGCCUCCUCUUCCUCCGACCCCGCCGGCAUUUUGCUUCUUUCUUUCUUUUUUGUUUCUUCCAGUGUGUAUUUUGGCCAAAGGCUACGUGUUGUGUGCUCACAGUGUUGGGAAUGUGACUACCUGUAAAUGAUUUACCGGAGGGAACAGAGGGUCACUUCAGAGAGCGGGCCUGUAUGCGGCGAGGCGCACGUGACUCUGACUCCACAUGUUGCGCGGGGAGGAAAAAGCUCUGCUAACAUGUAAUUAGCCUGUUACUAUUUUGAUGCUGCCGUCGCCGUGAAGGAGCAACAGGGUUGUUGGUUGUUCGCUCCAUGCCAGGAAUCCGCGAAGCUUUCAAUUUUAAACUACAAACUUUUCUCUGCGUUAUUGAAUAACUGGCUUUUGAAUUGAAAAAGAAGCCCACUCCUUUCUUCUUCUUCUUCUUCUUUUAAAAAACAGAUGUUUUUAUCUUUGAGCCAUGAAAUGAGCACUAAGAGAAGCGAGAUUAUAGCUUUUGCAGGACCUUGGCCCGCGUUUGUACAGCAAGUGAAAUGCAAGACUGUCCUCUUUAGGGGUUGCAGAGAGAUUUCGAUAUUAAAAGCUCACUUUCCUCUUCUGUAAUCUCGCACCAGAGCCAAAUGGAUAGCUGAUGCAAACUCCCGUCUGCCUCACUUCCUCUGCUGCUUCAAUUCCCACCAUCUCUGACUGGAGAUACUGGAAAAAAAACAAAACUUGCAAAACUACAAUGACCCCCGACCUAGAUAUCUAGAUAGAAGCAAAACAAAUUCUCAACAGCACAAACUUAAGAUGUUUUUUACAGGAAAGCUACUUAACUGAAUAAGCGUUUUGUACUGGUUUAGGUCAAUAGAAGAUGAAUAUUGCAACUGCUUUAAUUUUUAUAAAGCAGUCCCAACAGGACAGAUGGCUAGAUGAGCUUUAUUGGCUUUCAGUUCCAUUAAGUAUUAACAUUAGUGGUAUAUUUAAUCAAUAAUUCAGUGAAGCUAAAAGUAUGUUGAUACUUUAAAUGUAAUGGUGGCGGCUAAUGCGCUGGUCUAACAAUUUAAACAUUUUGUAUUUCCAGCACACAUUUCUGUCAAACUCCUGGUCCACCGAUAAAAAAGUAGCACAAUAUAAAUUCAGAGCAGAUUUAAACUGCAAUAUUGAGCUACGUAUUUUGGUCGUAAGCUAACUUAAAAGUCAAACAAAUUAGUUAUUUUAAUUAAUUUAAGUUUCAAGAAAAAAACAGCAAUAAAACUAACUGGGGGACUUCUUGUAUUUGGGUUAAACUAAUGCAGUGGCUAAGCUAAAGUCACUGCUUGUUCAUGGGGACAUUUCAUUAAACCGCCACCACUGCUAAUAGCAGGCUUUUAAUUAGCAUCAUGGGAAGCCAGGGACUCAUCAAGUGUAGUAUUUGAAGUAUGGGUACAGUACAGUCACGUCUUGAACUCUGUAGGCCUCUGCUUUAUUUUCUAAAAUGUUCAAAUUCAAAAGAACUGACUCUAACCUGCUGGGUAAAUCAGUGAUUAAGUAAGAUGUACGUCUAAGAAUCAGAGGUCAAAGUUUUAUUACUGUUAUCAGUUUCUCUAUGUUUCCUUUUGUUUAAAAUCAGCUUGGAUCGGAUUUUAGAUACGGAGGUCUGCCAUAUUUCUAAGAGGUUUAAAGGAACGCACCUCCUGCUCGUUUUCCAUGUCGUAGAACUAAACAAGGACAGGCAGCGUUUAGUUUUUGUAAUGCGUAACUUUCAAACCAACUCCCAGUUUUAAAAUUCCAUUUUAAUGUUCCCUCUUAUGUGUUCUGUCAUAUUUAUUUUCAAAGUAAUUUUCUCUCCAUUUCUUUAUUUUCUUGUAAAGCACACUCCGUGCCAUGCAAAUAAAAUUGCAUAUUGGAGGCCUUUUCUAAGCUAGUGGUUUACUUUUACAAUAACACUACCUUUACUUUGGUGAUAAAAUGUCAACUAGUGUUUCCAUAACACAAUGAAGCAAUUAAAAUACAUUGUGGAGCACACAUGGAAAUAAGUAAAACAACUGAUAUACGGUAUUUUAUUUUACAUAAGAAAUUGACAAGCACUCAUCAAUCAACAUAAUAAAACAUUUGUGCCAUCAGUCAAGACUCCAGAUGGCUCCUUAAAAUAAAUACUUUUAAGAGAAAACAAUAUGGACAGAACAGGCUCAAACCACACAGACAAACAAAUUAUCCAAAUGUUCAAAAGACGAAUGGGUCCGAAAACUCCCAAAGUCAACCCCGACUCUCCAACAUAAAGAGCUUGUAUAAAACAGUUAAGCGUUUUGAAAAAUACAGAAUCUUACAAAAAAGGUUUUUUUUGUCUUUUUUUUUUUUUAAAUUUCCUUGCCUUUUUGUGUCACUGUAAAAUAUCAGCUGGUAUUCAUGACAAGAAAUUAAGAAUUCCCCCCAUGUAUAAUAAUAAAAAGACAGAAUGUGCUUCUGCAUUUUUUUUUACAUUAGUAUUCACAUAUAUCAUAAGUAAACUGCAAAAGUCUUCUCAGUUCCUUAUGGUGCUUUGACGAAAACACGCGUACAGCACGGGGCUGCUCGUUGUCACAUUGUGUGUUGAGCUAACAGUCCCCCCCAUUACACCGAGCCUUUGAACGGCUUUCCAUUCCCCACGUGUGCUAAACAACACACUAAUGUCAAAUAUUCAUUGUCCUUAUAGGUUAUGCCACCAAGGUUCACAUUUUAUAAAAACAAAAUCAGAAAGUUUUUUUUUUGACAGGUUCUUGUCAACUGAAAAGGGUUAAAGAAAAAUAACAAAAGUCAUCAACAAGUGAGGAUUUCAAGAAUACAGCUUACAUUAAA